UUGGAGGGCAAGUCUGGUGCCAGCAGCCGCGGUAAUUCCAGCUCCAAUAGCGUAUAUUAAAGUUGUUGCAGUUAAAAAGCUCGUAGUUGAAUUUCGGGAUCAAUAUGCUGGUCGUGCCAUUGGUACGUACUAGUAUUAUUGGUUUCUUCCAUCUGAUGAAUCAUGAUGUCAUUAAGUUGAUGUCAUGGGGAAUCAGGACCGUUACUUUGAAAAAAUUAGAGUGUUUAAAGCAGGCUCGCGCUUGAAUACAUCAGCAUGGAAUAAUGAAAUAGGACGUUUGAUUCUAUUUUGUUGGUUUCUAGGAUUGACGUAAUGAUUAAUAGGGAUAGUUGGGGGCAUUAGUAUUCAAUUGUCAGAGGUGAAACUCUUGGAUUUAUUGAAGACUAACUACUGCGAAAGCAUUUGCCAAGGAUGUUUUCAUUAAUCAAGAACGAAAGUUAGGGGAUCGAAGACGAUCAGAUACCGUCGUAGUCUUAACCAUAAACUAUGCCGACUAGGGAUCGGAUGAUGUUAAUUUUUUAAUGACUCAUUCGGCGCCUUACGGGAAACCAAAGUGUUUGGGUUC
rnacentral:rRNA from 1 species